GCUCAUUGCUCAUUGCUCCUUCCCAACACAUAACAAGGGGUUGAAGCUUGCAGAGAAAUUGAAAUGCAUACGAAGCAUAUAACCAUCAUUAAGGGACUUGAUAAUUUUUCUUCCUACAAGCAAGAGAAUGCAACGGUGAAAUGAAAAGAGCAAAGCAUGUGAAGUUGUCGGAUACUCAAAGUGGGGAGAUUGCCUCCACCUAUAUGGCAAUCUUUUGUACUGAAGUCACAUCUACCAUUUUGUGACGAGUGAAUGGUUUUUACAUAUAUUGCAUAUAGAAUGCAGCUUCUAGAACCGAGUAGACACAAUGUAACCUAACUCAUAAAUAAUUUUGCUUCAUUUAAUUUCGCCUAUCUUU